rnacentral:rRNA from 1 species
CUCGCCGGAUGUAGGAACCGACCCGGGGACCGCCGGGGCAACCCGGCGCCCCCGAGACGGGGCGAACCACGGUGAAAUGACGGAUCGUCGGCCCCGCGCCGGCGACUCGCCGAAUGAGUUUCUGACCUAUCAACUCGAGACGGCGGGGUAGAGGCCCGCCGCGGUAACGACGGGUAACGGGGAAUCAGGGUUCGAUUCCGGAGAGGGAGCCCGAGAAACGGCUACCACUUCCAAGGAAGGCAGCAGGCGCGCAACUUACCCUAAUCUCGAUUCGAGGAGGUAGUGACAAGAAAUACCGAUGCGGGACCCUACGGGUGCCGCGUUCGGAAUGAGUACGAUUCGAACCACCUAACGAGGAACGAUCGGAGGGCAAGUCUGGUGCCAGCAGCCGCGGUAAUUCCAGCUCCAAUAGCGUACG